GUCGAGAAUCUUUCACAAUGGGGGCAACCCUGAUGGAGCGACGCCGCGUGGAGGAUAAGGUCUUCGGAUUGUAAACUCCUGUCAUGCGUGAACAAGGUUGCUUGGUUAAUACCUGGGCAAAUUGAUGGUAACGCAAGAGGAAGAGACGGCUAACUCUGUGCCAGCAGCCGCGGUAAUACAGAGGUCUCAAGCGUUGUUCGGAAUCACUGGGCGUAAAGGGUGCGUAGGUGGCGUGGUAAGUCAGAUGUGAAAGCCCGGGGAUCAACCUCGGAACUGCAUCCGAUACUGCCAUGCUAGAGUACUGGAGAGGUGACUAGAAUUCUCGGUGUAGCAGUGAAAUGCGUAGAUAUCGAGAGGAAUACCAAAGGCGUAGGCAGGUCACUGGACAGUUACUGACACUGAGGCACGAAGGCCAGGGGAGCGAACGGGAUUAGAUACCCUAGUAGUCC
rnacentral:rRNA from 1 species